UAAUUUCUGCUUUUUGCUAUGUUUUUGUAUAGUUAUAAGCAAAUAUAUACGACGGAAACUCUUUAAAUUGACUAACUACAGUGUUGUCUGUCUUUCAUCAGGCCUAUGUUCUCCACGGUAAUAUUGGUAGCGUAAAUGAAUAAUUCGUAGUAAAAUAAUAUAUUUAUUACGGCACAACGCAACAAUGUACAGACUAAACUAUCGUAAUAUAUUUAACAUGUAAUUUCCAACAUAUUCUCAAGAUACUUGUCUAUAAAUAAUUUGUCAUGUAAAUUUGCAUAAAUAGGCGGAGCUGAUCUCAAUAAUAAUAUUUCGCAUGUGUUUUUGGAACUAGGAUAAGGAAUUGCCAAACGAUAUGUGUAUAGUAAAUAAUUUAGACCAUGCGAGGCAUACAGCUAUCUGCGCUGCUUCUUACCUCUAAAGGAACCACCCGGGAUCUUUGCAUUUGCCAAAAUGUAAACAGCAAAGACUGAGGAAUUUGACCUUUGCACUGGUAUUUAUUUUUAAAAUACCGGAAGUAAAUAUUCUAAGCCGGAACAGAAAUGAAACGUCAAACGCUGACAAAAACAUGGGAGUCCUCGACUCAAAAUGAUCCUUUCUUCGUAAGAAAAUAGGCGAAGAGUAAACAUAAACAACCUAAUGAUAUUGUUCAA